rnacentral:rRNA from 1 species
AGAUUGAACGCUGGCGGCAGGCCUAACACAUGCAAGUCGAGCGGUAGAGAGGUGCUUGCAUCUCUUGAGAGCGGCGGACGGGUGAGUAAUGCCUAGGAAUCUGCCUAGUGGUGGGGGAUAACGUUCGGAAACGGACGCUAAUACCGCAUACGUCCUACGGGAGAAAGCGGGGGACCUUCGGGCCUCGCGCCAUUAGAUGAGCCUAGGUCGGAUUAGCUAGUUGGUGAGGUAAUGGCUCACCAAGGCGACGAUCCGUAACUGGUCUGAGAGGAUGAUCAGUCACACUGGAACUGAGACACGGUCCAGACUCCUACGGGAGGCAGCAGUGGGGAAUAUUGGACAAGU